rnacentral:rRNA from 1 species
UAGGGAAUCUUCCGCAAUGGGCGAAAGCCUGACGGAGCAACGCCGCGUGAGUGAUGAAGGUCUUCGGAUCGUAAAACUCUGUUAUUAGGGAAGAACAAAUGUGUAAGUAACUAUGCACGUCUUGACGGUACCUAAUCAGAAAGCCACGGCUAACUACGUGCCAGCAGCCGCGGUAAUACGUAGGUGGCAAGCGUUAUCCGGAAUUAUUGGGCGUAAAGCGCGCGUAGGCGGUUUUUUAAGUCUGAUGUGAAAGCCCACGGCUCAACCGUGGAGGGUCAUUGGAAACUGGAAAACUAGAGUGCAGAAGAGGAAAGUGGAAUUCCAUGUGUAGCGGUGAAAUGCGCAGAGAUAUGGAGGAACACCAGUGGCGAAGGCGACUUUAUGGUCUGUAACUGACGCAGAUGUGCGAAAGCGUGGGGAUCAAACAGG